rnacentral:rRNA from 1 species
UACGUAGGUGGCAAGCGUUGUCCGGAUUUACUGGGCGUAAAGAGCGCGCAGGCGGUCGAUCAAGUCGCGUGUGAAAGCCCCCCGGCUCAACUGGGGAGGGUCACGCGAUACUGAUCGACUCGAAGGCAGGAGAGGGUAGUGGAAUUCCCGGUGUAGUGGUGAAAUGCGUAGAUAUCAGGAAGAACACCUAUGGCGAAGGCGGGUCUCUGGGCAGUAACUGACGCUGAGGAGCGAAAGCGUGGGGAGCGAACAGG